UGGAAACAAAUUACUAAACAGAUAAUGACUAUAUAAUUAUACAAAAGGUUUUUGAUACAAAGAAUGCCAAUCUGAAAUUCUGAAUAUAUACAGAAUAAAGCGGAUUUAUAUAUUUGGCAAAUGUACUUAAAAACAUUCCAAGUAUUUGUCUGCUUAUACUUGAUCAUGAAAACCACCUUGCGUGAUUUUCUAGUAUGAUGAAUAAUUAAACAUUUCUUUGAUACAAGACUUCAUUAGUAAAAAUGAAAAUAAUCGUGUGAAGUACGGGUGUAGAAUUUUUCAGGUUGGAAUGCAACUUCAGAAACAAGCAUGUAUCACCAUGAAACAAGAAAAAUAUUUACUUCUUUCUCCUCCAAACGCCUG
rnacentral:misc_RNA from 1 species